rnacentral:rRNA from 1 species
AUGAACGCUAGCGGCAGGCUUAACACAUGCAAGUCGAGGGGUAGAAGGAGCUUGCUCCUUUGAGACCGGCGCACGGGUGCGUAACGCGUAUGCAAUCUACCUUUGCAGAGGGAUAGCCCAGAGAAAUUUGGAUUAAUACCUCAUAGUAUGUGAGGAUGGCAUCCAUUUUCACAUUAAAGUCACAACGGCAAAAGAUGAGCAUGCGUCCCAUUAGCUAGUUGGUAAGGUAACGGCUUACCAAGGCUACGAUGGGUAGGGGUCCUGAGAGGGAGAUCCCCCCACACUGGUACUGAGACACGGUCCAGACUCCUACGGGAGGCAGCAGUGGGGAAUUUUGGACAAUGGGCGCAAGCCUGAUCCAGCAAUGCCGCGUGCAGGAUGAAGGCCUUCGGGUUGUAAACUGCUUUGUACGGAACGAAACGGUGAGCUCUAAUACAGUUUGCUAAUGACGGUACCGUAAGAAUAAGCACCGGCUAACUACGUG